GGACGCAAGUCUGAACCAGCCAUGCCGCGUGAAGGAUUANGGUCCUCUGGAUUGUAAACUUCUUUUAUAUGGGACGAAAAAAGGUCUUUCUAGACCCCUUGACGGUACCAUAUGAAUAAGCACCGGCUAACUCCGUGCCAGCAGCCGCGGUAAUACGGAGGGUGCAAGCGUUAUCCGGAUUCACUGGGUUUAAAGGGUGCGUAGGCGGGUAGGUAAGUCAGUGGUGAAAUCCUGGAGCUCAACUCCAGAACUGCCAUUGAUACUAUCUAUCUUGAAUAUUGUGGAGGUAAGCGGAAUAUGUCAUGUAGCGGUGAAAUGCUUAGAUAUGACAUAGAACACCCAUUGCGAAGGCAGCUUACUACGCAUAUAUUGACGCUGAGGCACGAAAGCGUGGGGAUCAAACAGGAUUAGAUACCCUGGUAGUCCACGCCCUAAACUAUGGAUACUCGACAUAUGCGAUACACUGUAUGUGUCU
rnacentral:rRNA from 1 species